UGUGAAGAGAUGUGUUUGAGAAGAUUACAUUGUGCCAACAGAUGCUAUAAAUCAGUGAUGCUAACCCUUGGGAUUCCAGCUGUUACGGACUAUAUUUUCCACUAUGCUAGUCAUCUGGAUAUCUGGUGCUACUGCAAGCAAUCUGUUGUUCAGGUGCGGCUGACGCUUAACUUUCAAACGGAAUAUUAUGCCAGGAACAUGACAUAAGUUUUAGUUUAACAUUAACAAUCUGUUUCAGGUUGAUUAUGUGACUAUGAUAUAAUAGCUUUCUGUGUUUCUAACUGAUCUAAACUACAGUGAAAAACAUAAAGCUAAGCAUUUCAUAUAAC